rnacentral:rRNA from 1 species
AGCAUAUCAAUAAGCGGAGGAAAAGAAACCAACAGGGAUUGCCUCAGUAACGGCGAGUGAAGCGGCAGCAGCUCAGAUUUGGAAUCUGGCCCCGUGGUGGGGCCCGAGUUGUAGUCUGUAGAGGAUGCUUCGGGGGCCGACCGGGCCCAAGUUCCUUGGAACAGGACGUCAGAGAGGGUGAGAGUCCCGUCUGUGGCCCGGAUCCUCGCCCCUGGGUGAAGCUCCCUCGACGAGUCGAGUUGUUUGGGAAUGCAGCUCAAACCGGGUGGUAAAUCUCAUCUAAAGCUAAAUACCGGCUGGAGACCGAUAGCGCACAAGUAGAGUGAUCGAAAGAUGAAAAGCACUUUGAAAAGAGAGUUAAACAGCACGUGAAAUUGUUGAAAGGGAAGCGCUCGCGAUCAGACCUGCCUGCGGUUCCUCAGCCGACGGACUUCCCCGCCGGCGCAUUGGGCCGUGGGCAGGCCAGCAUCGGCUUGGGCGGCGGAAGAAGGACCCUCGGGAUGUGGCUCCCUUCGGGGAGCGUUAUAGCCGGGGGUGUGACGCCGCCGCCUGGACCGAGGCCCGCGCUCCGGCAAGGAUGCUGGCGUAAUGGUCGCCAGCGACCCGUCUUGAAACACGGACCAAGGAGUCUAACAUCCACGCGAGUGUUUGGGUGUCAAACCCCCGACGCGUAAUGAAAGUGAACGGAGGUGGGAACCCGCAGGGGAUGCACCAUCGACCGAUCCUGAAGUUCACGGAUGGAUUUGAGUACGAGCGUGGCUGUUGGGACCCGAAAGAUGGUGAACUAUGCCUGAAUAGGGUGAAGCCAGAGGAAACUCUGGUGGAGGCUCGCAGCGGUUCUGACGUGCAAAUCGAUCGUCAAAUUUGGGUAUAGGGGCGAAAGACUAAUCGAACCAUCGCCUGCUAGGUGGUCGAGAGGUGGGGACGAUGGACCUCCGCCUAGUCCCCCGCUCACGGGGCGAUGCUGUCAAAUUGCGGGGACACCCUUAGAGCUCAACCGAAGCCUGGCUGGACCGUAAGGCCAGCCCGGCGUGCGAGAGGGCCAGGUUGGGAUUGGGCGAUCCGCAGCCAAGCCCCACAGGCGUCCGCGCCCCGGGGAGAGGUUCACAGACUAGAUGGCAGUGGGUUGGACCGACGAAGGUCAGCCUAAGGUAUAGUCGGACCGCCGGGAGACCGGCCGGGGAGGUGUGAGCCAGCGGUGCUGAGCGUCUUGGGGCGCGCGCGCGCCCAAGGCCACCGCGGGUCUCGCGCCUCGUCGGGGGGUGGUGCGUCGACGCUGGCGGCCCCAUCCCUGGAGAAAGUCGCUAGUAGCUGGUUCCUGCCGAAGUUUCCCUCAGGAUAGCAGUAACGCGUGGCAGUUUUAUGAGGUAAAGCGAAUGAUUAGAGGCCUUGGGGUUGAAACAACCUUAACCUAUUCUCAAACUUUGAAUAUGUAAGAAGUCCUUGUUGCUUGGUUGAACGUGGACAUUCGAAUGUACCGUUACUAGUGGGCCAUUUUUGGUAAGCAGAACUGGCGAUGCGGGAUGAACCGGACGCGGGGUUAAGGUGCCGGAAUGCACGCUCAUCAGACACCACAAAAGGUGUUGGUUCAUCUAGACAGCAGGACGGUGGCCAUGGAAGUCGGAACCCGCUAAGGAGUGUGUAACAACUCACCUGCCGAAUGAACUAGCCCUGAAAAUGGAUGGCGCUCAAGCGUGCUACCCAUACCCCGCCGCCAGGGUAAGAACGAGGCCCUGGCGAGUAGGCAGGCGUGGGGGUCCGUGACGAAGCCUUGGGAGCGAUCCCGGGUCGAACGACCUCUAGUGCAGAUCU